UCAGAUGAACCGCGCGCAGCUUAACACNUGCAAGUCGAGCGGGGAAGUAGCUUGCUACCGGACCAAGCGGCGGACGGUGAGUAAUGCUUAGGAAUCUGCCUAUUAGUGGGGACAACAUCUCGAAAGGGAUGCUAAUACCGCUACGUCUACGGGAGAAAGCAGGGGAUCUUCGGACCUGCGCUAUAGAUGAGCUAAGUCGGAUAGCUAGUUGGUGGGGUAAAGGCCUACCAGGCGACGAUCUGUAGCGGGUCUGAGAGGAUGAUCCGCCACACUGGGACUGAGACACGGCCCAGACUCCUACGGGAGGCAGCAGUGGGGAAUAUUGGACAAUGGGCGCAAGCCUGAUCCAGCCAUGCCGCGUGUGUGAAGAAGGCCUUAUGGUUGUAAAGCACUUUAAGCGAGGAGGAGGCUACUUUAGAUAAUACCUAGAGAUAGUGGACGUUACUCGCAGAAUAAGCACCGGCUAACUCUGUGCCAGCAGCCGCGGUAAUACAGAGGGUGCAAGCGUUAAUCGGAUUUACUGGGCGUAAAGCGCGCGUAGGCGGCUAAUUAAGUCAAAUGUGAAAUCCCCGAGCUUAACUUGGGAAUUGCAUUCGAUACUGGUUAGCUAGAGUGUGGGAGAGGAUGGUAGAAUUCCAGGUGUAGCGGUGAAAUGCGUAGAGAUCUGGAGGAAUACCGAUGGCGAAGGCAGCCAUCUGGCCUAACACUGACGCUGAGGUGCGAAAGCAUGGGGAGCAAACAGGAUUAGAUACCCUGGUAGUCCAUGCCGUAAACGAUGUCUACUAGCCGUUGGGGCCUUUGAGGCUUUAGUGGCGCAGCUAACGCGAUAAGUAGACCGCCUGGGGAGUACGGUCGCAAGACUAAAACUCAAAUGAAUUGACGGGGGCCCGCACAAGCGGUGGAGCAUGUGGUUUAAUUCGAUGCAACGCGAAGAACCUUACCUGGCCUUGACAUAGUAAGAACUUUCCAGAGAUGGAUUGGUGCCUUCGGGAACUUACAU
rnacentral:rRNA from 1 species